AACACGAUUUUUUUGAUAAUAAAACUGAUGAAAAUGAUACAAGUAGAGCAUUAUAAAUUGGUGAGUGAAGCCGGCCCAGUGAACAUCUAUCUGCAAGGUGUAGUUUGGCUCUCACCAGAAAAGCACACGUGUUUAUAUAAUUGUCGUCAAACCAGCCGCCUUUGACAAUUUGGUUUAAUAUUUGGGAAAAAUUCAGACCGAAAGCCGUUUGAAAACCUCCUGAGGGCGUUCAUGUUAAAAAUUCAAACGUUCAAUUUCUGUCACGUGCAGUUCUUCGUGACAUUCAAAACACUGACACUGACGUCCUUUUUUGAACAAAGUUUCUGUUCAGUUUCUCGAUUAAAAUACUUCUUCUCCUUUUUUUUUCUUCUUUUCCACAAAAGCCAAACGUCAGCUUCGCAAGGUUUUCUUAGUCACAACUUUCAUAAAUUCUCAAUUCAUACGCCUUCAACCAGCAACGUUUUCAGGCGAACUUGGAGUUCCGCCUGUCAUUGUCGUCGCAAGACACCACUUCGCGCGUUGAAUACAGUUCAAACAAUUCGUCCCAGUAUUUGUUGAUGUCGUGGAUGUCUUCACAAUCCACCUUAUCUGAACGGUUGUUCACCUUUCUUGUCAGAAAUACAAGACCAUUGUGAAGAAGGUGCAAGUUAUUACGAUCAUGUAGGUCUCCAAGUAUCAUGAGUGGGUUGUGUUUCCAAUCAAGCGCCUUUUCUUUGAUGCACUUAAUAGUCUUCUUCCAUCGGCUGUCUUUCUUUUGCGGCAAUGGAACAAAAUAGUGUACCUCUUCCAGCUCGAGUGACCAUCGAACUUUUCUGGGCUUCUCUGAAAAAUCAUCCUCUUGUUCCUUGCUUUGAAGUUCUUCGGCCUCUUGCUUUGGUAACUCCAUUGUGAUUGAUAAUCGUCUUUUGAAAUGAGAGUUUGCUAAGUAGGGCUUCAACUGUUAGGUGAUCGCAGAGGGACUAAAUAUACAUCAAUACGAUCGAUCACUUUUAAAUGUAAGCACAGCGGUUUAGGUUUCAAUCGUACUUUCACUAUGUUACUCAAAUCCUAUUGGAUGCUAUAAAUAAAAAAUUUGAGUGAAUGGCUUUUUGAAGACAGAUCGUUUGUUCUCGCCACAAAUAACGGACAAAUAAUUUUAAAAACACGGAUAGGACCAUUGAGAGUUCUUCCUUUGCACCUGCUCGGUCACCGGAAGACCUCGUAGUAAUGACGUUAGCAUAGCGCCCACAAAUAAAGACAUGCAACUUAACAUGCACAAAUGAACUUUAAAUUUUGACAUUACCGAAAAAAAUUGUUUUAUUUUUUGUUCCGCCAAAAUAAAACUUUUAUCUUACAAAAUUAUACGACUUAAAAUAUCUGGCUUACUCUCUCAAUACGACUUUACCCGCAUCUUAGAGAAACAGCUUAUAUUUAAUUAUUGUUGCUGUAGUACAUCGGUUAAAGUUCGCAUAAUUUUCAACUUUAAUUUUAGAGCGAUAUGCGAUUGGCCUAACUCUUCCGUUUUGCAUAUGUGUUCAUCCUUUCUUGGAAACAGGCGUUACUAUUAAAGCGCUCAUAAUAACAAAUGUUAAUAGCGAGUCUUGAUUCUUUACAGUUACCGACCACUUCACACCUUGAAAAGUCCUCUUAUGGACAGUUAUAUCUCGAUCUGUUAUACCGACAUUUGAACUACUUUUAUCCAGAUUCCCAUCGGCGCAGGCUUCAUUUCGAAACAAAGUCCGGAUAUUAUUAAACUUUAUGCUUUUUUGUGCAAGGAAUAUCUCCAAUAGGCUUCUCUUCUUCUGUCUGUGUGAAAUAUUUUCGUUAUGUUUGCAUGAUAUUCGUAAAAAUUUCAGACAUUUUAUUCUUUAUUUCGCAGAAAUUUCGCGCGUUUUGUCCUUCGAACUCAAAACAAUUACAUCAUAAUUCUAUUUUUAGUUGAUAUUCAUGUCCUUAUUUUUCUAAGAAGAAAUUACAUCCUGCCUCGUCUCCUCAUUGGAAGGCACCCACCUACACCCUUAGAUAAUUAAUUUCAAAUCGCCUUCCCUAAUUAAUAUUUACCUGUCGCUAUAUUUUCAUUUCUCAAAAUGCUGGAAAAUUGGGGUUUUUAUUUAUCAUUUCAUGGUUGAGGGUUUUUUGUGACUACUUUGUGUUCAAGUUACUUGUAAAUUAGAUGGUAACUGUAGAAUUCGACUUCCGCUAAAAAAAUUCCGUGUUCACUCUUCGCUUGCGACCCUGGAACUUUUGCCCAAUGCGCGUUUCUCUUGCUUCCGGUGUCCACUAAGUAAUACCACAACGAAUUGGUGAUCAAGUUGCCUUCUUUCAAAUUAAUAAUUUGAAGGGCUGUCAUCGAAACGUGUUAUUAUGACACAAGUUUAGCAAGAUUUAAAUAAGAGAUCGCAACAGAACUCAUGUUAUUAUUGGAAUAAACUAAUAAAAGGUAUACAUUUUAUUGCUUUUGUUAGGGUCAGAUAGAUUAUGGCGGCAUAAUUUUGGGCAGAUAAAUGCUGAAGUCAGAACAUGGAGCAUGAUGCCGGUAUAAUUAAUGAAGGUUAAAAAAAUUCGGCGAUUCCUUCAACAAGACUGAGAUAAAAAUGUUAACAUUGAACCUUCUUUACCGAAAUUAGAUUGGUGGGGAGCAGAUAAGUUGAGCGGCACUUAAAAGCUAUUAUUUUGAAUUAGUAAAUUGAGCCCAGAGUAACACAAACCUUGUCACCGGCAAACUUAAACGCAGAUCGAGUGAAGAACUCCUAUUUUAAUCGCCUUAGUUUUAGGUAUGACCUAACUUUGUAACUGGAAUUUUGUAAAUAUUAAAAAAAUAAUUUAGAUUUGUAAUUAGGACGUAAAAUAUAACUUAGUUCUAAAUGGGAAGUUUUGUAAAAUAAGACAUGCAGUUUUAUCUUAUGAAUUAAUAAAGACUAUUAUUAUUGUUA
rnacentral:lncRNA from 1 species